AAUAAAGUGGCUGACUUUAAGGCAUUAAACUGUAAAUUUAAUUAUGAAAAUAAAAUUCCUUUAUUA
rnacentral:tRNA from 1 species